GUACAUCUACAGACCACAACUACAACGCUGGAGUGAACCAGUCAUACAGGUUUUGAGUGAGGGGCCCACUAAAUUAUGGGUUAUGUUCCAGGGGUGGGUCCAACCUUAGAGGCUUCAGGAGACGCCCAAAGGAGGGUGUGGUUCUUGUGACUACAGAAGGAUCCACAGUCGCUCCGCAGUCACAUCUGCAACUUGGGUUUCUUUGAUCCUUCAAAGGUUUUCAUCCCUCAGGCACCAUGGCAGAUAAAUCAGAGCAGACAAUCCUCACAGCAAUGGACUUCUUAAAGGAGACCUUCUUCAAAUAUGCUGACACGGACGACGACAAAGGCACCAUGAGCAAAAAGGAACUUGCUGACUUGCUCCGCAAACAUGUGAACAUUACAAUUGAAAGCCAUUAUGAUUACUUUUUCAAAACGAUGGAUGAAGACAAAGAUGCCAAAAUUACCUUUAAGGAGUACAUGUAUUUUCUUACCGAUAUGCAUAACUUCCGUUAGAAAAGAUGUUCGCAUCAGAUCACUCAUGUUGUUUCAUUUCUGUGGGACAGCUGAGGUGUCGAAACAUCAUGUUGUGAUUGUUCAGCUGAAAUGUGCCUCACUGGAUCUGAGGAACAUCUGAGAAAACAACAAAUAAAUGAUGCACUUCUUAAAAACCGUGUGUGUGUGUGUGUGUGUGUGUGUGUGUGUGUGUGUGUCUCCUGAAAGACAGAAAAAAACCAUAAACACUUGCAUCUGAUGUUGGGGGGGGGUGGUGUAUGCUACGUUGGGCUUGUUGCUGACAGUUUAUCAAUAAAAUGUCCCAGC
rnacentral:lncRNA from 1 species